rnacentral:rRNA from 1 species
GGCUUGAUGAAAUUAAUUUUAAGUCGAUCUGCCCAAUGAUAAAUAUUUAUUUAAUGGCUGCAGUAUAACUGACUGUACAAAGGUAGCAUAAUCGAUUGUUUUUUAAUUGAAAACUGGUAUGAAAGAAUUAAUGAGAUAUAUACUGUCUCAUAUAUAUUUAAUAAAUUUAAAUUUUUAGUAAAAAUGCUAAAAUGUGUUUAUGGGACGAUAAGACCCUAUAGAAUUUUAUAUUAGUAUUUAAAUAAGAUAAGUUUUUUAUAUUAAUAUUUAGUUGGGAGGAUUGGUAAAUUUAAAAAACUUUAUUUUGUAUUAAAACUUUGAUUUAAGAAUAAAUGAAUAAUGAUCUUGUAUUAUAAAUCAGAAGAGUAAAUUACCUUAGGGAUAACAGCGUAAUAUCUUUGUAAAGAUCGAAUUGAUAAAGGUGAUUGCGACCUCGAUGUUGAAUUAAGAUAAAUUUUAAAUGUAGAAGUUUAAUGAUUAAGUCUGUUCGACUUUUAAAAUCUU